GCUACUCUAGAGUCAGCCCGCAGUGAGGACGGCCACCUUGUGUUGAGAGUUGAGACCGGAGGGUCUUAUGACUGAGUAGCCAAGAAGCUUGGUAACGGCCACGGCCACCGAGGUCCCCCCGGACCCCAGUCUCGUGUCUGGAAAGCACUUGCAGAAAAAUCCAGGAGGCCUGUGUACGUCUGAACAGGCGAGACUGCUGGUCAUUAGCCUCGCUUGCUGCCAGGGGCUCUGGAGCGCUCCCUAGCAGCAAGCAAGCGGAGCUCUGUGAGCCCAGAACCUUCCAGCAAAGCCCUGACCGUGGAAGGCCAUCAUUCGAUCUCACAGAGCCAAGUUAUUUGCAGGAGAUCAGGUGGGGCAGAGGGAGGCUUGCAAGGCUCUGGGGUGGGACCCUGGCUCCCCCCUGGCAGGCAGGAGCAUCUCAAGAUACAGAGUUUGGGGGGCCCGGCGGUGGCGGGCGGGGCUCUGCGUGGCAGGUGGCCGGCUGCCUGGAGGGACGGACCCCAGAGGCUGGUCAGUUCGCCUCCUGCGGUCCGGGCCUGGGCAGGGGCUGCCACCGGUCUGCCCGGAGGCUGGGGUGAAGGCGCCCUCUGUCGCCUGCUUGGGGGACGUCUUUCCUCCCCAACACCCUAGCCGCUCGAAAGCCUGCAGACCGACAUCACACGCCCCGGUUUCCCCAGACAUUAUCUGCCUUUUGGGAACCUUUAAAAUAGAGUCUGACUUAAUAUAAACCGUGUGGUUCUUGAAGCGCGAGUUGUUUUUCGAGCGUUUAAGCGGCGGUGCCUACCUGGGGAGGGGGCUGGGGAGGGAGGAAAACGGACAUUCUCCUGUUAAGUCAGCGUUCAUGGAAAGCAGUUGAAGGUUCGGCCAAGCUGAUGUUUCCCGGCGGCCUGGCAUUCUGUCCAGAGCACGAGCAUUUCAGAAAGCUCCGGAAACAAGGGAGAGGGGGCACGCCUCCCCAGGGCCAGCUUUCCCCCGGGCUGUGUGCGUGUAGCGUCGGGAGCAGGGCUGGGGUCCUCGGGGCUCUUCCGCUGGCGGGACGUCGCCGGCGGGGACGGGACGGAUGGCAGGCGGGGCUGCAGAGGAAAACCACCUUUACGGUUUUCCUUCGCACGUUCCAGCUUGGGGAGAACACUUUUCCUCCCCGGGUUCCAAACUGCCUGCGUGCAUUCAAACAUCAGAGUUAAUAAGCAUAUUUAAGUGCUUUAUGGAGAGCGGCUUCUGCUUUUGUUUUUGUGUUUCCGUGUCUAAGAUGUCAGUUUUCCACCUGGGAACAAAUGGAUGAUUUUUUUUUUUUUAUCUCCCUCUGUGGCAAUUUGUUUCUCCUUCUAGUGACUCACUUGAGGGGACAGCUGCGCCCUAGUGCGUCCGUCUGGCUUUCCUGACCAGACAAGUGGAGGCCAGCCCUACACGUGGGUCUCCCCAGGCAGAACACGCUGUGUGGGCAGCACUGGGCCCCCCCCCCAGGCCAUCCCCGAGGGGUCAGGGGCCACGGAAGUCCUUCCCCAUCGGGACAGAGCAGGAGGGACAGGCCGGUGGGGGCUGAGGCAGAGGAAGUAUCGGAUCAUAAGCCUACACUUCCCGUAACAAUGAGCCUUCCCUGAAAUUCUGGACUGGGUUCUGCAGCCUCUGAGGAUGCCCAGACACCAUUAGACGAGUUCCACAUUCGUGUCACCUGAGAGGCCCGGGCGUCCUGUUAAAGUCGGGGAUCCUGCUAACCUCCGGGCCCCACCUGAGCGAGGCCCUGGGCUGACGACCGUCUCUAACAGCUCUGGAAACCUUUCCAAGGCACGUGGGCUCCGUGUCGUCGGCGAAGCUUUUAUGAGUCCCACAUUGGGGAAUGAGUUUAUGGAAGGCCCAACAACCACGGGGGGGAAUGGGGGGGUGCCACCUAACCUGAGAGAACGCCCCCCAUUGUGCCCUGGAGGGUCUGCUGGGACCGUCCGCGGUAUCCUUUGUCCAGGUGUUGGUGGGUGAGGGGGUCCCUGCCCCCCCUGGUGUCAAGCACCUUGUCCCGUGCACAGCUUGGGUCCGCAGAGAGCCCCUGGCCCCGACGGAAUGGAGAUGUGGCCUUGGUACAGACAGAUGCUCUGUGACAGAAUUUGCAGCCUUAUGAAGGGAAAUCGGGCGCUUCAUCCCGUGCCGGGGAAAGAGGGAUGAAACCCUGGGCGGUUGGGGGCUCUGUGCUUGGCUUCCCAAAACAGCUCUUCAUCUGGAAAACUCCAGAGAGCCCACCCGAGCGGGCGACAGAGCCCCACAAGUGCAGCGUCCCGGUCGGGCCAGGGGCAGAGCAGGGACCAGAGCCCGAGCCUGGCACGGGUGGUCCAGUCCACAGCGACAGACGGAAGCUUCUCGGCUCAGUGACCCAGGUGGCACGUCCACCACGCCCUCUGGCCCCUCCCCCAGCUCUGAGCUCCAGAGUGACGUGCCCAGGAAUAGAUCGUGGGCUUUGGGAGGCAAUGGGGGCAGGGUCCCCGGGCACAGGAGCCCGAGGGGUUUGAGGCUGCCUCGGACAGCCCAGAGGGGGGGGCAAGCUGGUGCUCCGUGGCCCCAGCUCCAGGGGGAACAUCUCCCCGCGGCCCUUGGAGAGGUUUCCAGAGCCCACUGGGUACCCUUGGGGGCCCCGGGUGCCUGUGGGAUCAGGCCCGUCUGGCUUGGGGGCCCCGUCACUCGGCCCCAGCCCCACGGAGGGCAAGGCCCUCUCCCCUCCACUUGGCCACCUGGUCGUUCUUAUUACCUCUCCAGGUGUCGCUGGGGAAGGAGCUCACCCUCCUGCCUGCGCCCCAUUGUUCCGCAGGCUCUCUCUUAGGUCAUUUUACAUUUCCACCUGAUCCCUGUAAUUCUGUAAAACGUUCCCAGGCCACAGCACGACCCUGCCACAGCUGGUGUCUCGCCCCUGCUCACAAAGCUCAGACGGCUGGCGCGGGCCCUGGGAGCGGGCAGGUCCGCGGCCACCGGGAUGGGACUGCCCCGCGUGCCCCGGCCCCACCCUCCACCCACGCCCCGACGUCAGCGUGGGGUGGUCACAGCCCUCCGCGGCGCUCCCCGGGGCCGUGGGCACCUGGUCAGGUGAGGGCUGGCUGCUGGCCAAGGACAGGGGCGCCUGCCCGCGGCGUGCACAGGACGCGGGUCGGGACGGGCAGACGGCGCUCUGUGCGCGGUCGCGGGGCCCAAUCACAGCCUGGUGCUGAAGGCCCCCGGCAGCACAAAUACCAAGAGAACAUUUGAAAAGCUCAAUAAAUUGAUCAUAUUCCAGUGAACCUUCACCCUCAUAACGAUGGGACCAUUUAAAUGCUAAUGUCAUUUUUUAAAAAGUCAAUUACAGGAGUUUUGGAGCGAUGGAGUCAGCAUUCUCCGCCCUCCUCCCGCCAGCCCCGGCUCCCCCGCGGCGACGGGCACUCGAGCGUUCGCCGGGGUCCCUGUAGGGUUCACCCCGCCAAGCCGUCCCCGUCGUGGAAUCAAGCGGGCGCGGGCGCCAGGAAUACCCGUUGUUAACGGGGCAGCGUGUGUGGACCCCGGGGGUGGGGGUGGUGGCUGCACUUGGCCCCGAGAACUGGCGAGCCCACCCCAGCCGCGCGCCCCGCCGGGUCCCUAGCAGAGGAGGAAGAGGGUGGGAAACUCCCGGCCUUCCUGAACGUGCAGGGGUGGGGUGGGGGAGACUGCCAGGUUCCGUCGGCCCCUGCUGCACCCCCUCCUUCCUCUUGGGGGGCUUCCUCGCCCGCCCUCCGGGCUCCCGAGUGGGCCGACCGGCUCCCCCAUGGCUGGGAGGGGAUCCCAGCUGAGGGUUCUGAGCGUCGCACCCCGCACGGGGGCCUGGGGGUCCCGCGAGCACGCUUACACCGCCCACGCCAGCAACGGCAGCGAUGGCUUCCGUGCUGACAGCCUUCUGGGUACUUCACGCUUGACUCUCUCAGGGCCUUGCUCCAAAAAGGGAAACAGAGGCACGGAGGGGCCCGGGGCCGGCCUGGCUCACGUGCUGUCGGGUGGAAAGAGCUGGAACUCCAGGCAGGUCUAUUCAGGGCCACGCGAGCCACACGGCGCAGAGGCAAAGCUGCCUCAGCCAGGAGACCUGGGGUGUCCGCUCUGGCGGCCACGACGGCCUGCGUCCCCAAGGACGCAGACGGUCCCAGCCUCAAGGAGGAAGUGACGAACUUCCCAGGGCCUUGGCGUUGAGUGCUGACCUGUGACCCCCGUGCCCAGCUCAGUGUUUGGACGGGGGAGCAGACACCUGGGGGCCGGGCGGGUCCCGGACGUCCUCUGUGGUGUGAGGCUGUGGGUCAGGGUCACGGCACGGCUGGGACGCCCCCUUCCGCUCUUCUGUCUGCGCUUUCCCCUCGCCAGCUUCUGGAGGAAGGCACCUCCAGACUCUUCUACAUGCCCUGGGCACGGAAAGCCCAGCCACCGGGGGCCCCCGGGAUCUUUCCCGGGAAAGUCAAGGUGCAGGCCCCCGGCACGGAGCUCAGCCGGGGUGGUGGGGGGACUGUGCCCCGCUCCCCCUCAGCCCGGCCAUCCUGCUGCAGGGAGUUUAACCCGCUGCCUUCACAGUGCAGAUGAGACCCCCAGGCCUAGAGCCAGGAGCCAGGAGCCGGGGUCAGAGAGGCACGGUCUGCCCUUCCCGCCUCCCUCCCCAGCGCGUGUCCUGGGGCACGGGUUGGCGUGCGGGUUCAGCCGACGCCGUGGGAGGAAGUGUAGCUAUUCUGUUCCUGCACGUGGCCGAUGCCCGGUGCGUCCAGGAUUUGUGAGGCUUCAGAAUUUCCAAAGGGGGGGCGGGCCCGAUGGUGGGGGGAGCUGGCAUGCCAUCCCUGGAGCACCUCCGUGCAGGGCCUCGGGGCCGCAUGCUCAGCUGGCCAGCUGCCUGGACGCCAUCAAUCCCUGGCCGAUGACCCCAGUCCCUGCAGAGGAGGGGCUGGUGCUGCGUCCGGGGCCCUGCCUUCUUCCUGGUGCUCUGAGCAGUCACUACAGGCCGUAGGCAGAAGAACCCCAAAAGGGGAGGAGGGGGGAGGGGAGGCUGCCCGUCUGGCCACAGGAACUAGGGGUCACAAGUUGGGGGGGGCAGGGCUCCAGGGAGUACAGUCCCAGCCCCUUGACACAGGACCCAGGGGAAUGCGUGGGGUGGAGUGUUAGCCGGGGGGGUCUGCAGGCUAACAACCCCCCUGGGAGUCCUGUUGCCACCACAG